AGUGAACGCUGGCGGUAGGCCUAACACAUGCAAGUCGAACGGCAGCACAGUAAGAGCUUGCUCUUACGGGUGGCGAGUGGCGGACGGGUGAGGAAUACAUCGGAAUCUACUUUUUCGUGGGGGAUAACGUAGGGAAACUUACGCUAAUACCGCAUACGACCUACGGGUGAAAGCAGGGGAUCUUCGGACCUUGCGCGAUUGAAUGAGCCGGUGUCGGAUUAGCUAGUUGGCGGGGUAAAGGCCCACCAAGGCGACGAUCCGUAGCUGGUCUGAGAGGAUGAUCGGCCACAUUGUGACUUAACCACGGUCCAAACUACUACGGAACGCAGCAGUACGGAAUAUUCCACAAUGGACGCAAGUCUUACGCAGCAAAGCCGCGUGAAUGAAGAAGGUCUUCUGAUCCUAAAACUCUUUUGUUAUAAAAAAACAAGUGCCAGAGUAACUGUUACCGCCUUGACGGUACCUAAUCAGAAAGCCACGGCUAACUACGUG
rnacentral:rRNA from 1 species